GAUGAACGCUGGCGGCGUGCCUAAUACAUGCAAGUCGAGCGAACAGACGAGGAGCUUGCUCCUCUGACGUUAGCGGCGGACGGGUGAGUAACACGUGGAUAACCUACCUAUAAGACUGGGAUAACUUCGGGAAACCGGAGCUAAUACCGGAUAAUAUAUUGAACCGCAUGGUUCAAUAGUAAAAGACGGUUUUGCUGUCACUUAUAGAUGGAUCCGCGCUGCAUUAGCUAGUUGGUAAGGUAACGGCUUACCAAGGCAACGAUGCGUAGCCGACCUGAGAGGGUGAUCGGCCACACUGGAACUGAGACACGGUCCAGACUCCUACGGGAGGCAGCAGUAGGGAAUCUUCCGCAAUGGGCGAAAGCCUGACGGAGCAACGCCGCGUGAGUGAUGAAGGUCUUCGGAUCGUAAAACUCUGUUAUUAGGGAAGAACAAAUGUGUAAGUAACUAUGCACGUCUUGACGGUACCUAAUCAGAAAGCCACGGCUAACUACGUG
rnacentral:rRNA from 1 species